CAAUGAUGCUGGAAAUGUUAUAACAGAAUGGUACAGGAGAGAGUGGCCACUUAAAACAACGAGUCCUGGAGAUGAGUGUGAGGGUGUGGGGGAAAGUGACAAGAACUGAAGGAGAAGUAACAGAACGGUCUCAAGGUCACCAUGAUAGGAAACGGUGUGUGUGUGGGGGUGUCAGAGUGAAGAAAGGCCAGCUCCCAUGAGGUCUUUGUAAGAAGCAGGGAGUUUGGUUUCCAUCCUAAAUACCUAGGAAGUCACUAGCAGAUUAUAAACGGAUGAGUGAAGUAAUGUGACUGUGGUUUGCGUCGAGACAGGGUCUCAUGUAGCUCAGGCUGUCCUCAGACUUGCCAUAUGGCUGAGUCUGGACUUGAUUCUCCUCCUUUCAGUUCACAUACACUGAGAUUCCAGGCUCACCCACGUCAUCACCCCCAGCUUAACGGUUGUUAUGGAAACCCCCUAGAUGCUCCAUGGAGAACAAUUAGGAAGAAAGCUUUUGAGCCAGCCUGGGAGAGGGAAUGGAGAGUCUGGAAAGUUGGCCACAGAGGGGAAGGUGGUUUGGCUUUAUGACCGUGUAUAAUAUAGCCCAGACUGGGUGCCAUCUUAGUCCACAAGGAUGGGUCAUGUCCUCCUUCUCCCCCUUUCCUUCAGGAAGACAUCUCUAGGAGAAGACUUCUAAACAGGAGAAACACACACAGCUUCCCAGGAUUCUGAACAUUUCCAAGAGUCAUAUCCCCCUGUGGAAGCUAACGUUUGUUGUGGGUUUGUUUUGUCUUGUCUUCUGAGACAGGGUUCUCUGUGUAGCCCUGGCUGUCCUGGAACUCACUCUGUGAGAUCAGGCUGACCUCGAACUCACAGAGUUGCACAGAAUGUUGGAAUAAAAGGUAUGCACCACCCCCUGUCCAGCUGUCGUGGGGUUUAUAUUGUUGGUUGAUUUGGUUUUCUGAGACAGGGUUUCACCGUGUAGUCUCAGGUGGCCUAGAACUAUGUAGACUAGACUGGCCUUGAACUCACUGCUACCCACUUGCCUCUGAGUGCUGGGACUAGAGGUAAGCACCACCAUACUCAGACACAGUAGGAGCUAACUUGCAGCAGGCAUCCCUGGGGCAGGCUGGAAGGCAAGGCGCCUGGAUGUGGGACUGACGGAAUGUCAUUUGCCUCAUGUUUCAGCAAGUUUUCCGCUCAACACAUCCUUCUCUGGUCUCCUCUCACCUUUGGGAAGUCAAAGCCACGUGGCUUCUAGACACAUUUCAGCUCUUCAGGGCCUGGCCUUCUGGUUAACUAAAUAGUCCUUGGGAUCAACGAACGGGUCUGGCUUUUCAAUUCCUGGCUCUGCUUUUUAUCAGCUGUGACCUUGGACAGGUUAGUUCCUUCCUGAGCAUCUCCUGCUCCUGACCACUGACAGCAGGGUCAGUUACAAUCUGGAAGACUGUAACUUGUACCUCGAGGAGCCAUUUUAAGGUUAAGAAAAUGUACCUAUGAAGACGCUUAAACAAGACUCACCUCAUGUCAACAGCCAACAAAUAACAGAACACAGAUUCAAUCCCAACAUUUUAUUAUUUACUUACCUUCCGACUUCAUCUCUUGCUACUUCCCAGAUGCAGAGACCUAGGUUUAAAGGGCUUGCCGAUUUCCACACCACACCCCACGUGGCCCCCAGGAGGGCCUCUUGGGCCUUUUCCUAUGCCUUUUCAGCAUGUGGCCCACAAUAAUCUUAGGACUUGGUGACCCAUGGGACCAACAUGCACCUAGUGUUGUCUUUCAUACCACGGAGUUGCUUCUGCCAGGGAGCCUGCCUGGAAGUCCCCGUUGGUGUCCCUCGUCCCCUCCGGGUCUCCAUUCUGACGACCUAGCACAUGGCAGGUGCUCAUGAAGACUCUGCAGCUCUACGGGUGUGUACACACAUAUAUACAUGCACCCUAAAGCAGCCUCAUUGAGAGUACAGGAUAGCUUUAAAACCUGCAUUGCCAAGGAUAACCUUGGGCUCCUGGUCCUCCCUGUUAGGUCUCUAACGGGGGACAAGUGGCUGAGGUCCCUAUUUAGCUCUUGCCUACAUGAUCCAGCCAUUUUGGCUACCCCAGUCCUUUUUCCCUUUUGGUCUCUUGCUAUACUGGCCUCCUGGCUCUCUCGAGUCUGGCUAUGCCUACCCUUUUAUCUACAAUAAAGCUUUUCCUCCAGCAUUCCUCCGAACCACCGCAUCCUCCUUUUUACUUUUUAAAAUGCAUGUCUGGUUUCACCUCCCAAAUGCUGGGUUUGCUGAUCAGGCCACAACACUUGGUCAAGGCUCAGAUACUCGCUCCCAGGCUGGGGGGAGCCUGAGACCCAAACACCUUCCAACCCACAGCUCCCGCCGGAGCUCAGCCAAGCCAGAGUCAAAGCCUGGGUGUUUCUGCUCAAUGUAUGAAACCAGGAAACUGGAAAAGAAAAAAGGCUAAACCAGGAAGCUGGGGUUGUCUUGGGCUUCUGGGCAAAUAUAAUCUUUACCUGAACUUGCUCACUUGAGGCAAUGGAGACAAUCUUAUUACCUCAGAAACGUGAACUCCCGUGACCCAGUGUUCCAGGAGCCUGGCCGGCAACUGAGUAAGUGGACAUGAACAGCCGUCGGCAACAGGCCCGGGAGAGUUGAG
rnacentral:lncRNA from 1 species